CCACCACCUGCCAUAUUAGUUCUCUGCCAGAUCGUUGUUUGUGUGUACCUCGUCAUAGUCCAGUUCAUUGAUCCUGUGCGGCCGUAUAUCGUGUACCCUGUUCCUGUCGGCCAUGUUGAGGCCGUUCCUGUUCCUGUCGGCCAUGUUGAGGCCGUUCCUGUUCCUGUCGGCCAUGUUGAGGCCGUUCCUGUUCCUGUCGUCCAAGUAGAGGUCGUUCCAGUCCCUGUCGGCCAAGUAGAGGUCGUUCCAGUCCCUGUCGGCCAAGUGGAGGUCGUUCCAGUCCCUGUCGGCCAAGUGGAGGUCGUUCCAGUCCCUGUCGGCCAAGUGGAGGUCGUUCCAGUUCCUGUUCCAGUCCCUGUCGGCCAUGUUGAGGCCGUUCCAGUUCCUGUUCCAGUCCCUGUCGGCCAUGUUGCGGCCGUUCCAGUCCCUGUUCCUGUCGGCCAUGUUGCGGCCGUUCCAGUCCCUGUUCCUGUCGGCCAUGUUGCGGCCGUUCCAGUCCCUGUUCCUGUCGGUCAUGUCGCUGCCGUUCCAGUCCCUGUUCCCGUUCCUGUCGGCUCCCGCAAAGAUGCCGUUCGUGUCCCUGUUACCCUCGGAGCCACAGCCCCCGCCGGCCUCCAGGAGGAGGCGGCGCCGGCGGCAGUUCCUGCUACAGCUCCCGCCGGCCUCCAGGAGAAGGCGACGCCGGCUGCAGUUCCUGCUGCAGUUCCUGCGGACCUCCAGGAGGGGGUCGCGCCAGCUGCAGCUCCUGCGGACCUCCAGGAGGGGGUCGCGCCAGCUGCAGUUCCUGCGGACCUCCAGGAGGAGGUCGCGCCAGCUGAAGUUCCUGCGGACCUCCAGGAGGAGGUCGCGCCAGCUGCAGUUCCUGCGGGCCUCCAGGAGGAGGUCGCGCCAGCUGCAGUUCCUGCGGACCUCCAGGAGGAGGUCGCGCCAGCUGCAGUCCCUGCGGACCUCCAGGAGGGGGUCGCGCCAGCUGCAGUCCCUGCGGACCUCCAGGAGGGGGUCGCGCCAGCUGCAGUCCCUGCGGACCUCCAGGAGGGGGUCGCGCCAGCUGCAGUCCCUGCCGACCUCCAGGAGGGGGUCGCGCCAGCUGCAGUCCCUGCCGACCUCCAGGAGGGGGUCGCGCCCGUCGUAGUUCCUGCCGACCUCCAGGGGGUUCCCGUCGCAGCUCCCGCUGCGGUUCCUGGCGGCCCGGCUCCGGCCGCACCUGCUUCGGUUCCUGGCGGCCCGGCUCCGGCCGCACCUGCUUCGGUUCCUGGCGGCCCGGCUCCGGCCGCACCUGCUUCGGUUCCUGGCAGCCCGGCUCCGGCCGCACCUGCAUCGGUUCCUGGCGGCCCGGCUCCGGCCGCACCUGCAUCGGUUCCUGGCGGCCCGGCUCCGGCCGCACCUGCAUCGGUUCCUGGCGGCCCGGCUCCGGCCUCGUCUCCACGUCUGUCUUUGCCUCUGGUUCCUGCCUCAUCUCUGUCUCUGCUGCCGGACGGGUGGCCUCGCCCUCGACGCAUCCUGCUGCUUGGAUGGCACUGCCUCCUGCGGCGCCGUCCGCCUCGACUCCUCAGCCUCCUGGAUCAGCGUCCGCCAGGAGGACAUCGCCGUUCGGGGGGGUUCCCGUGGACGCUGGCCCAGCCCAAGGGCACUGGGUGUGCCCCCCUGCCUCAGCGGCGGCUGAGCAGGAUCUCGCCGCGUCCCCACCCUCCGUGA
rnacentral:lncRNA from 1 species